UGCCAGCAGCCGCGGUAAUACGGAGGUGGCAAGCGUUGUCCGCGAUUUACUGGGCGUAAAGAGCGCGCAGGCGGUCAGAUAAGUCGAAUGUGAAAGCCCCCGGCUCAACUGGGGAAGGUCAUUCGAUACUGUUUGACUUGAAGAUGGGAGAGGGAAGCGGAAUUUCAGGUGUAGUGGUGAAAUGCGUAGAUAUCUGAAGGAACACCAGUGGCGAAGGCGGCUUUCUGGCCCACUCUUGACGCUGAGGCGCGAAUGCUAGGGGAGCGAACGGGAUUAGAUA
rnacentral:rRNA from 1 species